GUGAUAUAUGGAAGAAGAGAAAGUUAGCACUGCCCUUGAUAAGAAUGGAAAAGGUCCUGGUGGCCUUUACAGUACACAUAUGGUUAUGGCAUUGCCGCUGAAUCUGGAGUCAGGAAGAUCCCUCUUCCU